rnacentral:rRNA from 1 species
UACGUAGGUGCAAGGCGUUGUCCGGAAUUAUUGGGCGUAAAGAGCUCGUAGGCGGUUCGUCGCGUCGGCUGUGAAAUCCCGGAGCUCAACUCCGGGUCUGCAGUCGAUACGGGCGGACUUGAGUUCGGCAGGGGAGACUGGAAUUCCUGGUGUAGCGGUGAAAUGCGCAGAUAUCAGGAGGAACACCGGUGGCGAAGGCGGGUCUCUGGGCCGAUACUGACGCUGAGGAGCGAAAGCGUGGGGAGCGAACAGGA